AUAGAUUUGUUGGAAUGUUGUGAAUAUUCUCGUGUUCGCAACACAGUUCUUGCCAUGUUGGAUAUUUGCACCUUUUCAAGCUCACUUAUAGGUGAGGGAGG
rnacentral:pre_miRNA from 1 species